rnacentral:rRNA from 1 species
CCCUUAGAUGUUCUGGGCUGCACGCGCGCUACACUGAUGCACUCAACGAGUUUACGACCUUGCCCGAUAGGGUUGGGUAAUCUUUUUAAAAUGCAUCAUGAUGGGGAUAGAUUAUUGCAAUUAUUAAUCUUCAACGAGGAAUUCCUAGUAAGCGCGAGUCAUCAGCUCGUGCUGAUUACGUCCCUGCCCUUUGUACACACCGCCCGUCGCUCCUACCGAUUGAGUGCUCAGGUGAAUAAUUCGGACUGCAGCAAUGUUUGGAUCCCGAACGUUGCAGCGGAAAGUUUAGUGAACCUUAUCACUUAGAGGAAGGAGAAGUCGUAACA